rnacentral:rRNA from 1 species
UACGUAGGGAGCGAGCGUUGUCCGGAUUUAUUGGGCGUAAAGAGCGCGUAGGCGGCUCGGUAAGCCGGAUGUGAAACCUCCAAGCUCAACUUGGAGCGGGCAUUCGGAACUGCCGUGGCUAGAGUCUGGUAGGGGAACACGGAAUUCCUGGUGUAGCGGUGAAAUGCUUAGAUAUCAGGAGGAACACCGGUGGCGAAGGCGGUGUUCUGGGCCAGUACUGACGCUGAGGCGCGAAAGCGUGGGGAGCGAACAGG